rnacentral:tRNA from 1 species
AUCUUCCUAGUAUUAAAUAAUAGUAUAAGUGACUUCCAAUCACCCGGUCUUGGUUAAAAUCCAAGGAAAGAUA